GAGAGUUUGAUCCUGGCUCAGGAUGAACGCCGGCGGUGUGCCUAAUACAUGCAAGUCGAACGCGUUGGCCCAAUUGAUUGAUGGUGCUUGCACCUAAUUGAUUUUGGUCGCCAACGAGUGGCGGACGGGUGAGUAACACGUAGGUAACCUGCCCAGAAGCGGGGGACAACAUUUGGAAACAGAUGCUAAUACCGCAUAACAACGUUGUUCGCAUGAACAACGCUUAAAAGAUGGCUUCUCGCUAUCACUUCUGGAUGGACCUGCGGUGCAUUAGCUUGUUGGUGGGGUAAUGGCCUACCAAGGCGAUGAUGCAUAGCCGAGUUGAGAGACUGAUCGGCCACAAUGGGACUGAGACACGGCCCAUACUCCUACGGGAGGCAGCAGUAGGGAAUCUUCCACAAUGGGCGCAAGCCUGAUGGAGCAACACCGCGUGAGUGAAGAAGGGUUUCGGCUCGUAAAGCUCUGUUGUUAAAGAAGAACACGUAUGAGAGUAACUGUUCAUACGUUGACGGUAUUUAACCAGAAAGUCACGGCUAACUACGUGCCAGCAGCCGCGGUAAUACGUAGGUGGCAAGCGUUAUCCGGAUUUAUUGGGCGUAAAGAGAGUGCAGGCGGUUUUCUAAGUCUGAUGUGAAAGCCUUCGGCUUAACCGGAGAAGUGCAUCGGAAACUGGAUAACUUGAGUGCAGAAGAGGGUAGUGGAACUCCAUGUGUAGCGGUGGAAUGCGUAGAUAUAUGGAAGAACACCAGUGGCGAAGGCGGCUACCUGGUCUGCAACUGACGCUGAGACUCGAAAGCAUGGGUAGCGAACAGGAUUAGAUACCCUGGUAGUCCAUGCCGUAAACGAUGAGUGCUAGGUGUUGGAGGGUUUCCGCCCUUCAGUGCCGGAGCUAACGCAUUAAGCACUCCGCCUGGGGAGUACGACCGCAAGGUUGAAACUCAAAGGAAUUGACGGGGGCCCGCACAAGCGGUGGAGCAUGUGGUUUAAUUCGAAGCUACGCGAAGAACCUUACCAGGUCUUGACAUCUUGCGCCAACCCUAGAGAUAGGGCGUUUCCUUCGGGAACGCAAUGACAGGUGGUGCAUGGUCGUCGUCAGCUCGUGUCGUGAGAUGUUGGGUUAAGUCCCGCAACGAGCGCAACCCUUGUUACUAGUUGCCAGCAUUAAGUUGGGCACUCUAGUGAGACUGCCGGUGACAAACCGGAGGAAGGUGGGGACGACGUCAGAUCAUCAUGCCCCUUAUGACCUGGGCUACACACGUGCUACAAUGGACGGUACAACGAGUCGCGAACUCGCGAGGGCAAGCAAAUCUCUUAAAACCGUUCUCAGUUCGGACUGCAGGCUGCAACUCGCCUGCACGAAGUCGGAAUCGCUAGUAAUCGCGGAUCAGCAUGCCGCGGUGAAUACGUUCCCGGGCCUUGUACACACCGCCCGUCACACCAUGAGAGUUUGUAACACCCAAAGUCGGUGGGGUAACCUUUUAGGAGCCAGCCGCCUAAGGUGGGACAGAUGAUUAGGGUGAAGUCGUAACAAGGUAGCCGUAGACUGAGAGUUUGAUCCUGGCUCAGCCGUAACAAGGUAGCCGUAGCUGAGAGUUUGAUCCUGGCUCAGUAUCGUAACAAGGUAGCCGUAG
rnacentral:rRNA from 2 species